rnacentral:rRNA from 1 species
AUUGAACGCUGGCGGCAGGCCUAACACAUGCAAGUCGAGCGGAUGAAGGGAGCUUGCUCCUGGAUUCAGCGGCGGACGGGUGAGUAAUGCCUAGGAAUCUGCCUGGUAGUGGGGGGUAACGUCCGGAGACGGGCGCUAAUACCGCAUACGUCCUGAGGGAGAAAGUGGGGGAUCUUCGGACCUCACGCUCUCAGGUGAGCGUAGGUCGGAUUAGCUAGUUGGUGGGGUAAAGGCCUACCAAGGCGACGAUCCGUAACUGGUCUGAGAGGAUGAUCACUCACACGGGAACUGAGACACGGUCCAUACUCCUACGGGAGGCAGCAGUGGGGAAUAUUGGACAAUGGGCGAAAGCCUUAUCCAGCCAUGCCGCGUGUGUGAAGAAGGUCUUCGGAUUGUAAAGCACUUUAAGUUGGGAGGAAGGGCAGUAAGUUAAUACCUUGCUGUUUUGACGUUACCAACAGAAUAAGCACCGGCUAACUUCGUG